ensembl:lncRNA
CAUCACUCUUCUAGAAUUGUCUUCGCUUCACUUUAAGUUUAAAGCUCAUUCCACUGGCAGGGAGAUGCGCAGGUAAGGGCUCUUGCCACCAAGUCUACUGAGCUCCCAAGAUCAAGUGCUGAAGGGAGUCUCCUGUAAUCUGUCCUCUGACCUCCGGGGGUGUGUGCACGUGCAGUAUAGUCACACACAAUAAAUACACGUAAAAAUUUAAAUCGGAAAGCAAAUCACUUUUGACAAUAAGAAAAGAGUCAUCUGACUCCCGAGGACCUGACGGCCACUUCUGAGGAGGGACCCACUGUCCUCUGCGCUGUGGCCCCAACUGAACUCUGUUCCCUUCAAGGAAAAAGGGAGCAAAAAGUAGAAGCAAGCCAGGGCUGGAGGAGUGGGGGUCAUCAGGGUCAAGAGAGGCGAGUGGUGGUUAUGAUUACAACACAUUAUACACACAGGAGAAGGCCACACUUAUGUACAUGCUAAUAAAGUAACAUUUAUUAACACUCAAUCGUUGUAGGAUUUUUCCUGGGGGACCUGAGUACCGGAGUGUUCCCGAGACGUACUAAAGUAGGAGUGAAGUCUCAGGAGAGACAGCGGUCCCAGCUGUUUCUCGGUGCGUUCCCCGCCCCAACUCCCCUCCCCGCCACCCUAGGGGGCUCUGUCCGGACGCCGAGCUCUCUAGGGUCCAAGGAAACAACCGCAGCCCUAGCGAAUCCCAACUGCGAACUCGGAUAUGACCCAUGGAAAGGGGCGAGGAAGACAAUCCGGUGUUUUGGGGUGUGCUGCCUGUGUGCACAGGAGGGCUGCGCACGCACUCUCCCGGCCUCCUGGAUCUUCCUACAAACGGUUCACACAAUAUUUUCCUUCGGGAAAGUUUUCUAGAUUGGGGAUCUCGGCAAAGAGGACGCUAUGGGUGCGCUUGAGCUUCCCGGAGCGGCAUGAUUGUUGUCAAUGCGUGUGCAUGCAAUGCGCAUGAAGACCCGAAGAGAGCGUUGGAUCGCCCUGGAACCAGAGUGACCGUCUGCUAUGAGCCGCCUAAUUGAGCGGGGACCGAUCUCGGGUCCUCUGCAAGAGCAGAAGCCUCCUCUCCAGCGCUUCUCCGUUUUUUUUGUUUUUGUUUUUUGUUUUUUUUUUUUUUUGAGCCGGUGUCCUGUAUACACUCACUACACCGCUUAAGCUGGCCUCCAACACCUGAUUUUCCUGGCUCCACCUCCCUAGUGCUGGGAUGAGAUGAUGGGUGUGUGUUCACCAGUCCUGGCUAAGCUGACAACUCCUCACCCACCCCAUCUCGCUUCUCUGUCCUCUCUGGUUCAUAUAUAUAUAUAUGUAUACAGGUCUCAAUGUGGACUCUUCAUAAAGCUUAUAUUUUGGUGGGAUGACACAAACAGAAUGAAAAGUUAACGCAAAAGGAAAGGUUUGAACCCAGAGACCCAAGUGCGGAGGAGCUGUCAGACCAUAGCUCCAUUCAUUCAUUCAUUGAACGUCCAAUUGCACCAGUGAACAUGGGUAAUUUGGGCUUAUGUGCCCAAAGCGAUGAGUCAGGGUCUUGCUAAGUAGUCCAAGCUAGACUAGAUUCCCACUAUGUAGUCCAAGUUAAUGUUCUUUUUGUCUUAGGUCCUUGACUACUAGGGUGAGAGGCAGGUGCCACCAAGCAUUUGUGCACAAUCUAACUCAUGAAAUCCUGAACUUAGGCCGUGAGAAAGGCAGUAGACGCUGCCUCUAGGACUGGAGUUUCCAAAAUAAAUAUAUUGGAGCAACUGGAAGCCUGGUGCCA